rnacentral:rRNA from 1 species
AGAGUUUGAUCCUGGCUCAGAACGAACGCUGGCGGCAGGCCUAACACAUGCAAGUCGAACGCCCUAGCAAUAGGGAGUGGCAGACGGGUGAGUAACGCGUGGGAACGUACCCUUCGGUCUGGAAUAACCCAGGGAAACUUGGACUAAUACCGGAUACGUGCGAGAGCAGAAAGAUUUAUCGCCGAAGGAUCGGCCCGCGU